AAAAAAUUUACCUAUAAUGAGUGCUAGAAAGCACAAAACCGACAUGUAUUAGGAAGUAGGGAAAGAGGUGUAAAUCCUCUACAGCCCCAAUCUACUGUAAAAAUGACGAAAUCUCAAAUACCACUGAAUAGAUUUUUAUUCGGGAAGGUGAGAAAGUAGGAUGAAUUUGAGUCAGGAUACCUCUCUUAAUACCCAUAGUUAC
rfam:Carnobacterium maltaromaticum LMA28 complete genome